UACGAAGGGGGCUAGCGUUGCUCGGAAUCACUGGGCGUAAAGCGCACGUAGGCGGAUUGUUAAGUCAGGGGUGAAAUCCUGGAGCUCAACUCCAGAACUGCCUUUGAUACUGGCGAUCUCGAGUCCGGGAGAGGUGAGUGGAACUGCGAGUGUAGAGGUGAAAUUCGUAGAUAUUCGCAAGAACACCAGUGGCGAAGGCGGCUCACUGGCCCGGUACUGACGCUGAGGUGCGAAAGCGUGGGG
rnacentral:rRNA from 1 species